UAGCUACGGUUGACGCGUUAUGCCCCACAUAGAGGUUUAUGGCAACCACAUCGUUAUUGGUGAUGACUUCCAUUCUUUAAUGCCUCGAAGGCAUGAAAUAGUUUCAAGUCCAAUGUCUUUCAGAAGAUCACCAAGCCUUGUCGAUGAUAUUUUACUGGGUUACUUCGCUCAGACAGGACCUCAACUGGAGAACUUGAAUCGAAGUGUUAAUUAGGGGACGUAACAACGAGUAGGACUCACUUUAAAAAGUGGCAGCAAUCGUGUUGUUAGAUAUACUUUUAAAAUUAUAAGACAAUUGUUGGUACUCACUUAUACGUUAGUUGCAUCAGAAGACAUGAUUUUUCGUUCGGAGGGAGUAAAGCAAAUCCAUGGAAUGGGCCAAUUUUAUUCCAAUACAUGUGGUUCGAACUCGAAGGACUGGUUACAUUCUGGAGAAAGUUAAUCGAGGAUAUUCCUUUCACAUGCGACAUUGGACCGCGAUCACCAUGCCUGAUAACAAGCAGCACACCCUGCAGUUUCCAUCCCUCCAAUAAGCCACCAUCAUCCUUACGAACUAAACUAUCCACAGGCGUGCA